rnacentral:rRNA from 1 species
GACGGAGGAUGCAAGUGUUAUCCGGAAUUACUGGGCGUAAAGCGUCUGUAGGUGGUUUAAUGUGUCGAUUGUUAAAUCUUGAGGCUUAACCUCAAACAAGCAAUGGAAACUAUUAUGACUUGAGUGUGGUAGGGGUAGAGGGAAUUUCCAGUGAAGCGGUGAAAUGCGUAGAUAUUGGAAAGACCACCAAUAGCGAAAGCACUCUACUGGGCCAUUACUGACACUGAGAGACGAAAGCUAGGGGA